rnacentral:tRNA from 1 species
GGGGAUGUGGCGAAAUUGGUAGACGCCUCAGUUUUAGGUACUGAUGCCUUCGGGCGUGUCGGUUCGAGUCCGACCAUCCCCACCA